GAAAAUCGUCCGAAAACAGUUUCCGAUUCCCAAUUUAAAGAUCUUUUGGAAUACUGGAAUUGUUCACUAAUCGAGAAAGAAGCAAAAAUUAAUAAAGGCAAUCGUGGAUCACUAGAUGAUAUGCAUACUAUGGGUCCGAAGUCAUACGCAAUGUUACGUCAUAAGUUGCAACAAGAGGAUCCGGAUAAGCAAGAGCCUUCACAAGAAAAGGUCUACAAAGAAUCGAGGAAAAGAAAUCCUGAAAAGACAUACCUCACCAACAACGAAAAAACUAUAUCCAAUAUUG